UACGUAGGGUGCAGGCGUUAAUCGGAAUUACUGGGCGUAAAGCGUGCGCAGGCGGUCUUUUAAGUCAGAUGUGAAAUCCCCGGGCUUAACCUGGGAACUGCGUUUGAAACUGGAAGGCUUGGGUGUGGCAGAGGGGGGUGGAAUUCCACGUGUAGCAGUGAAAUGCGUAGAGAUGUGGAGGAACACCGAUGGCGAAGGCAGCCCCCUGGGCUAACACUGACGCUCAUGCACGAAAGCGUGGGGAGCAAACAGG
rnacentral:rRNA from 1 species